GGCUUUAUAGUCAAAUUUAUGAUAUUAGACUGCAAUUCUAAAGUUAAGAUAAUAUUCUUUAAAGCUU
rnacentral:tRNA from 1 species